UCUGGGUUUGUGUUGAGUGUCAAUGAAUCAGAGUCAUGGGGUAGGAAGCAACUACAAUCUGGUUUUAUAUUUCACAGUCACAUUAAAAAUGAUGGCUGGGGACCUACUGAAAAGCAACAUAUGGUUGAUACAGAAAGCUUCAGAAAAAAUCUUCUUCAAAAUCAACCUUAAGUUUUCACAUGGAAUUUAAAUUUCAUUUUAUUUUAGUGACAAGAUUUUUUGAUGCUUUCCAGCUCUUUCUGUCCAGCUCCCUGCUCCUGACAGCAUCCAGCACCCACACAAAGCAGCCUGUUGAAGCCAUCCUCUGUCUCUGAUCUGGGACAGUCUGUGGGUAUGAUGGUGACCAAGACCUCCUUAACAUGUUCCUGCGGUGCCAACGUCACCAUCAGAAACUCUACCACUGGAGAAAGCAAAUUCUCUUGGGAAGACACACUGAAAAUGCUUCUGCCAUUAAUUUCUGCAUUGCCUGGAGAUUAGCCAUAGCUGGGCUACAAAGCGGAUGGGAACUCUGGUUUGGAAGGUAGGAUCUGAACACACUGAUCCUGCGGAGGAACAGGAACUGAGGCAACUUAAAAGUGAGGAGGCUCCCGUAAAGGCCAGCCGCUCGGCCCUGCUCUGCGAGGGAAGCGCCAGCUGCUCUGCUGGACGCCUGCACCCACAGCUUUGUCUGUGCCCAGAGCUGUAAACAUCACCCUGAGCGCUUUCCCAGGAAGGACGAGGACAACAAGCUGAUUAUGUGACAAAAACACCCAAAGUCCUGUUUUGAGAAAACUUCGUCCCCGGAGGAGAGCAAGGUCUGCGGGAGACACAAACAAGGCUGGAGCCAGCCAAGGGCUGCACCUGUCCCUUGUGCGUGGGAAGGGGGGAGAUUGUGGGCUUAGGGCUCAUGCACUGAUAGCAACGGGCAGCUUUGCACAGUGUUUUGAUGGGAAUUGUACAGAGAGUGCCGCAGUUUUUAAUGAGGGCUCUCCCUCCUUCUCAUUUCCUUAGUGGAGAAGGGGUCACAUCAUCCUGAC
rnacentral:lncRNA from 1 species